rnacentral:rRNA from 1 species
AGGAUGAACGCUGGCGGCGUGCCUAAAACAUGCAAGUCAUACGGUCUACCUUCGGGUAGACAGUGGCAAACGGGUGAGUAACACGUGGGAACACGCCUUCGAGUGGGGAAUAACGCUGAGAAAUCAGUGCUAAUACCGCAUAUGGUCUAACGACUAAAGCAGUGAUGCACUCGGAGAGUGGCCCGCGUCCGAUUAGCUAGUUGGUGGGGUAAUGGCCUACCAAGGCGGUGAUCGGUAGCUGGUCUGAGAGGAUGGUCAGCCACACUGGGACUGCGAACGGCCCAGACUCCUACGGGAGGCAGCAGUUAGGAAUUUUCGGCAAUGGACGAAAGUCUGACCGAGCGACGCCGCGUGGAGGAUGAAGCCUUUCGGGGUGUAAACUCCUUUUCUGCGGGAAGAUAAUGACGGUACCGCAGGAAUAAGCACCGGCUAACUACGUGCCAGCAGCCGC